GACUAUGUGGCGCAGUGGUUAGCGCAGUCGCCUUACAAAGUAAUACCGCGAAAGGUCGCAGGUUCGACCCCUGCCAUGGUCA
rfam:Trichoderma harzianum strain T6776 Scaffolds0061.1, whole genome shotgun sequence.